GUUAAUGCAUUUAAUCUUCACAACAACCUCAUGAUGGAGGCACUGCUAUUGUGCCCCGCUGCAGACAAGGAAAUGGAGGUUCUCAGACAGUAAGAAACAUGCCUAAACUAGCGAUAACCCAGCACUAUAUGUGGUAGAAUCAAAAGCGUGUUCACACAAAACUUGUACACAAAUGUUUAUAGCAGCAUUAUUCACGAUAGCCAAAAAGUGCAAACAAACAUGAAUUAUAUCUCAAUAAAGUCAUUACUCAAAAAUGAAAGAAACGUGUUCAGUCACAGAGGCAGUGACAGUUCUUGGAUUUGGAGCUGGCAAUCAGGCUGUGGUUUGUGCUCAUUUUUACUGUGCUAUGCACCGUCUGUUCCUUCUGAUAACUGGAGAGAGGCAUGAUUUUUACCCAACGA
rnacentral:lncRNA from 1 species